UACGUAGGGUGCAAGCGUUAAUCGGAAUUACUGGGCGUAAAGCGUGCGCAGGCGGUUAUGUAAGACAGAUGUGAAAUGCCCGGGCUUAACCUGGGAACUGCAUUUGUGACUGCAUGGCUAGAAUCUGGCAGAGGGGGGUAGAAUUCCACGUGUAGCAGUGAAAUGCGUAGAUAUGUGGAGGAAUACCGAUGGCGAAGGCAGCCCCCUGGGUUGACACUGACGCUCAGGCACGAAAGC
rnacentral:rRNA from 1 species